GGAGUUGGCCAGACAGUCGCCGCUAACCCAUCUUUUUGAUGGGCUGGGGGAGGAAAGUCCGGGCUCCAUAGGGCAGAGUGCCAGGUAACGCCUGGGCGGCGUAAGCCGACGGAAAGUGCAGCAGAGAGUAGACCGCCUAAGCCUCUUGAAAUAAACCUCAAAGGGCCGGUAAGGGUGAAAGGGUGCGGUAAGAGCGCACCGCGCGCCUGGCAACAGUGCGUGGCAUGGUAAACCCCACUCGGAGCAAGACCAAAUAGGGACCCAAAGGCGUGGCCCGCGCUGGGUCCGGGUAGGUUGCUUGAGCGCUGUGGUGACGCAGCGCCUAGAGGAAUGACUGUCCACGACAGAACCCGGCUUAUCGGCCGACUCCCCAU
rfam:Halomonas sp. JB380 genome assembly, contig: Scaffold3